UACGUGAUAUUGUCCUACUCCACAUGGUGUGAGACACCAGUACUAAGAUGAUGGUAUAUAUGUGAUAUUGUCCUGCUUCACAGGGUGUGAGACACCAGUACUAAGAUGAUGCUAUAUAAGUGAUAUUGUCCUGCUUCACAGGGUGUGAGAGACCACAGUACUAAGAUGAUGGUAUAUAUGUGAUAUUGUCCUGCUCCACAGGGUAUGGGAGAACAGUAC